GGCGGACGGGUGAGUAACACGUGGGCAACCUGCCUUAUAGAGGGGGAUAGCCUUCCGAAAGGAAGAUUAAUACCGCAUAACAUCAUUUUACCGCAUGGUAGUUUGAUCAAAGGAGCAAUCCGCUAUAAGAUGGGCCCGCGGCGCAUUAGCUAGUUGGUGAGGUAACGGCUCACCAAGGCGACGAUGCGUAGCCGACCUGAGAGGGUGAUCGGCCACAUUGGGACUGAGACACGGCCCAGACUCCUACGGGAGGCAGCAGUGGGGAAUAUUGCACAAUGGGGGAAACCCUGAUGCAGCAACGCCGCGUGAGUGAUGAAGGCCUUCGGGUUGUAAAGCUCUGUCUUUGGGGACGAUAAUGACGGUACCCAAGGAGGAAGCCACGGCUAACUACGUGCCAGCAGCCGCGGUAAUACGUAGGUGGCAAGCGUUGUCCGGAUUUACUGGGCGUAAAGGGAGCGUAGGUGGAUAUUU
rnacentral:rRNA from 1 species